UAAAGCGGUCCCAUGUUAACAAUACAUCUGCUGAUGCACAAGCUUGGACACAUCAUCAGUGUUGUAUCCUGGACUCACUGGGUGUUUCGGGUCUUGCAACAGACACCCUCAUCCAGGCGACCCGGCCGAGGUGAUCAAGCCUCGGCCUGUGUCCAAGUGGCAUGCUACACCCACUACAACCACUGCUCUCCCCUUUUCAACCAGAGCCAUCUGGAGGCUUUUUCUGCUGCCUCCACGUUGUUGCCUAUGGCCCUUCUACGGUUGGCACCCGUUAUGCCUAGUGUGCUGUAGGCUUUGCUCAGGGAGUGGCUGGCAAACCCCCGACUGCCCACCUCCACUGGCAUACACUUGGUCUUCCACCCGUUCCUCCGACAGUCCUCCACCAGCUCCUGGUACUUCUCCCUCUUUCUUUCAUGGGCCUCCUCCAUCCUCUCCUCCCA